rnacentral:rRNA from 1 species
GACGAACGCUGGCGGCGUGCUUAACACAUGCAAGUCGAACGGAAAGGCCCUGCUUUUGUGGGGUGCUCGAGUGGCGAACGGGUGAGUAACACGUGAGUAACCUGCCCUUGACUUUGGGAUAACUUCAGGAAACUGGGGCUAAUACCGGAUAGGAGCUCCUGCUGCAUGGUGGGGGUUGGAAAGUUUCGGCGGUUGGGGAUGGACUCGCGGCUUAUCAGCUUGUUGGUGGGGUAGUGGCUUACCAAGGCUUUGACGGGUAGCCGGCCUGAGAGGGUGACCGGCCACAUUGGGACUGAGAGACGGCCCAGACUCCUACGGGAGGCAGCAGUGGGGAAUAUUGCACAAUGGGCGGAAGCCUGAGGCAGCAACGCCGCGUGCGGGAUGACGGCCUUCGGGUUGUAAACCGCUUUCGCCUGUGACGAAGCGUGAGUGACGGUAAUGGGUAAAGAAGCACCGGCUAACUACGUG